rnacentral:rRNA from 1 species
GACGAACGCUGGCGGCGUGCUUAACACAUGCAAGUCGAACGGAAAGGCCCUGCUCUUGUGGGGUGCUCGAGUGGCGAACGGGUGAGUAACACGUGAGUAACAUGCCCUUGACUUUCGGAUAACAUCAGGAAACUGCGGCUCAUAUCGGAUAGAAGCUCCUGCUGCACGGUGGGGGUUGGAAAGUUUCGGCGGUUGGGGAUGGAAUCGCAGGUUAUCAGCUUGUUGGGGGGGUAGUGAAUGACCAAGGCUUUGACGGGUAGCCCGCCUGAGAGGUUGAAUGGGCACCAGGGUACUGAGAGACGGACCAGUCUCCUACGGGAGGCAGCAGUGGGGAGUAUUGCAGAGUGGGCGGGAGCCUGAUGCAGCAGCGCCGCGUGCGUGAUGACCUCCUACUGGUGGUAAACCGCUGUCGCCGGUGACGAAGCGUUCGUGACGGUAAUGGGUCAGAAAGCACCGGCUAACUACGUG